UACGGGGGGAGCAAGCGUUGUUCGGAUUUACUGGGCGUAAAGGGCGCGUAGGCGGCCACCGCAAGUCGACUGUGAAAUCUCCGGGCUUAACCCGGAAAGGUCAGCCGAUACUGCGGGGCUAGAGUGCAGAAGGGGCAACUGGAAUUCUCGGUGGUAGCGGUGAAAUGCGUAGAUAUCGAGAGGAACACCAGUGGCGAAGGCGGCGAUCUGGACAGAUAUUGACGCUGAGGUGCGAAAGCGUGGGGAGCAAACAGG
rnacentral:rRNA from 1 species